rnacentral:rRNA from 1 species
CCUACGGGUGGCAGCAGUGGGGAAUAUUGCACAAUGGGGGGAACCCUGAUGCAGCGACGCCGCGUGGGUGAAGAAGCGCCUCGGCGCGUAAAGCCCUGUCAGCAGGGAAGAAAAUGACGGUACCUGAAGAAGAAGCCCCGGCUAACUACGUGCCAGCAGCCGCGGUAAUACGUAGGGGGCAAGCGUUAUCCGGAUUUACUGGGUGGAAAGGGGGCGCAGACGGCGAUGCAAGCCAGGAGUGAAAGCCCGGGGCCCAACCCCGGGACGGCUCUUGGAACUGCGUGGCUGGAGUGCAGGAGGGGAAGGCGGAAUUCCUGGUGUAGCGGUGAAAUGCGUAGAUAUCAGGAGGAACACCGGUGGCGAAGGCGGCCUGCUGGACUGCAACUGACGUUGAGGCCCGAAAGCGUGGGGAGCAAACAGGAUUAGAUACCCUUGUAGUC